UUUCACAUAGCAAAGUAACACAGUCUC
rnacentral:piRNA from 1 species